rnacentral:lncRNA from 1 species
CUCCCAUCACCCUGGCCCAAUCGCCAUAGCUCCUCACCAACACUUAAUUUCAGAAGCUUCCUCAUUGGCCUCCCUGUUUUUGCCCCUAUCCCUUUGCAGCCUAUUCUGGAAAGUCAGAGUAAUUGUUUUUAUGCUCAUAGAUCAUGUCCUGCCUAGGCUUAAAGAUCCCCAACUUUUCUUCAGCCGCUCAGAGACAAGUUCACGCCUAAGGUUUUACCAGGCCCUUGGUCCUCUGGCCUCCUGUCAUUUCUCUGGUCCCUCUGCACUGGCUCACUGUCUCUUACCUUUGCACUUGAUUUUCUCUUUCUGCUUGGAAUAAUCUUUUAUCAGAUGUACUUGACUCCAAGCUCCUAAGGCUCUCUGUUCAAAUGUCGGCUUGUGGGUGAAAACGCUGUGAUCACUCUAUUUAAGAUUGUUUCUCCACCGUUCCCUGUGUGUUAUAUCCCACUCCCAGCUUUCCUUUCCUUUCAGCACCCUCCCUCCCCCACACACUCUGAAGUGUGUAGAAGAUAGGAUUUCUUCAUGCUCCUGCCCCAUCCUCCAGUGUGUCAACUCCUGGAGGUCAAGGAGUUUUCUCCUUCAGUACUACAGCUUCAGCAUCUAGAAGAAUACUCUGCAAAUUGCAGGUGAUCAGUAAAUCUUCAUUAAAUGGGGGGAAAAUAAGGCUUUAUAUUGUACCUGGUCUUUCAAUGGGACAAAAUAUUUGGAAUCAAGAUUUAGUAUGGUUACCUUCCAAGAAUGACUUUUCACAGGACUGGACUUUUCGGUGGCAGAGUGCUUUGCUAACAUGCUCAGGGCCCUGGUUUCAAUUCUUACCACUGCCGGAAAAAAGUUUUGCUUAGAAACUUAAAAUCUUC